rnacentral:rRNA from 1 species
GAUGAACGCUGGCGGCGUGCCUAAUACAUGCAAGUCGAACGCGCAGCGAAAGGUGCUUGCACCUUUCAAGCGAGUGGCGAACGGGUGAGUAACACGUGGAUAACCUGCCUCAAGGCUGGGGAUAACAUUUGGAAACAGAUGCUAAUACCGAAUAAAACUUAGUGUCGCAUGAUACAAAGUUAAAAGGCGCUACGGCGUCACCUAGAGAUGGAUCCGCGGUGCAGUAGUUAGUUGGUGGGGUAAAGGCUUACCAAGACGAUGAUGCAUAGCCGAGUUGAGAGACUGAUCGGCCACAUUGGGACUGAGACACGGCCCAAACUCCUACGGGAGGCUGCAGUAGGGAAUCUUCCACGAUGGGCGCAAGCCUGAUGGAGCAACGCCGCGUGUGUGAUGAAGGCUUUCGGGUCGUAAAGCACUGUUGUAUGGGAAGAAAUGCUAAAAUAGGGAAUGAUUUUAGUUUGACGGUACCAUACCAGAAAGGGACGGCUAAAUACGUGCCAGCCGCCGCAGUAA